UUUCUAUCUCCUCGCCUUUUCUGGAGCGGUCAUCCCCUUCUACUUCCUUCCAAUGCGAGCAGCGGCGGCUGAGGCUCAAAAAAUCUCCAACCCUAGUGGCCCUAAUGGCGAGCCCGUCCCCAUAUAGCUCGCGAACGACGACGGCGGUGUAGAUCUUGGCCACUGGAGGCACUGGUCCAUCUCCGCCCCGAUGAAUCCUGGACAUCUCGUCGCCGGCGGCCGGUCUGCCCGGGCGAACCUCUCUUCUGCUGCGCCGCGACGCUGCCCGAGAAAAUCCCCAGGUGGCUCCUCGAUCUACCAUUUGUUGCCCCAUCUAACCUCCAACAUCUGCUUACGGCAGAGAAGAAACAUAGUGUCCCUCGAGUCUUCAGGAAUGCAGAUGCUCCUAACGGAAGAGGUCCUAACUCAGAAGGACUCAUUGUUUCAUCUGGAACGGCCAUUUCCUUGAACAAAAAGCAGGACAUGGCUGGAUGAAUAUGUUAAACAAACAUACCUUCUGUUUUUCUUGCAUCUUCUGGAUUCUUUUGCACUCUCGUUAUCUUUGGUCUUCGCAAUGCCAACUUGUUUACCUCGAUUAUUAUGAUGCAGCAAUUAUUUUCUAUGCCUAAACUACAUUAGAACUCUUGCCAUAAGUUGUGCCCUUGUUCUGGUCCAUGUGCUCGACAUCUCACAUGCGAAAGAUGAUCUCCUUUCUGACUUUGCAAUUCUCAUCCCAGGAUCUAGUAAUGGAAGAGAUCAGUAGUGCAACAUCACCAUUAGGAGAGCCCAUGGUUCCAAUGAUCGCAAACUGUGCACCAACACUAUCAGAGAUUAAUUCCCCAAUUCUUCUCGUUGCUGAUUUCAGUACACUGAAAAAGAAACAGUCAAUAUCUCAAGAGUCAAGAGGUACCCACGUUGUGGAAAUAGUUUGCAUGGUUGAUGAAACUGCCGGUUCUGAAAGCUCAAUGUCAUGGUUUGGUUACCCUAUGAGAAUCCUGUGUGAAAUUGAGGAGCUAAGCCAAGCCUUUUGUACUUUUACUCUUUCUUUUAUUCGUAGAGGCUACUAUAUGUGUCUACUUGUGUGCUAAGCUACCCAUUCGUGACUGGAGGUUGUGGGGUAAUGCUUCUCUGAAUCAACUUGCUAUUUGUAUCCAAACUGAGAGUAAACUUGAGCUCCUUUGAUUGUGGAAAAAA